rnacentral:rRNA from 1 species
GCGAACGCUGGCGGCAGGCCUAACACAUGCAAGUCGAGCGGCCGUAGCAAUACGGCAGCGGCAGACGGGAGAGUAACACGUGGGAACGUGCCCUUUGGUUCGGAAUAACGCAGGGAAACUUGCGCUAAUACCGGAUAAGCCCUUACGGGGAAAGAUUUAUCGCCAAAGGAGCGGCCCGCGUCUGAUUAGCUAGUUGGUGAGGUAACGGCUCACCAAGGCGACGAUCAGUAGCUGGUCUGAGAGGAUGAUCAGCCUCACUGGGACUGAGACACGGCCCAGACUCCUACGGGAGGCAGCAGUGGGGAAUAUUGGACAAUGGGCGCAAGCCUGAUCCAGCCAUGCCGCGUGGAUGAUGAAGGCCUUUGGGUUGUAAAGUCCUUUUAGCGGGGAAGAUAAUGACGGUACCCGCAGAAAAAGCCCCGGCUAACUUCGU